rnacentral:lncRNA from 1 species
GGCAUAUGAGGUUCCCAGGCUAGGGGUCAAAUUGGAGCUGUAGCCUCUGGUCUACACCACAGCCACAUCAACAUAGGAUCUGAGCCGAGUCUGUGACCCACACCACAGCUCACAGCAAUGCUGGAUCCUUAACCCACUGAGCGAGGCCAGGGAUCAAACCCAUGUCCUCGUAGAUGCUGGUCAGGUUUGUUUCCACUGAGCCACGACGGAAACUCCCUGGAAGGGGUUUCUUUACUGAUUAUAAAACUACUGGAGUUUCCCUUAUGGCUCAGCGGGAACGAACCAGACUAGUAUCCAUGAGGAUGCAGGUUUGAUCCCUGGACUCCCUUAAUGGCUUAAGGAUCCAGCAUUGCCGUGAGCUGUGGUAUAGGUCACAGAGGAGGCUUGGAUCCCGAGUUGCUGUGUCUGGGGUGUAGACAGCAGCUGCAACUCCGAUUCGACCUCUCGUCUGGGAACUUCCACGUAGCACACAUGCAACUCUAAAAAAACAAACAAAACCCCAAAACCUACAAACCUCCUUCCCUCCAUCCUUGAAGCCUGAGAGACUGUACGUGAGCAGCAGUCAGGAGCAGACUGGCCAGGUUGAAUUACUGUUCACCAAAGUGUAAUUUUCAGUUCAUAAGUAGGAAAUACUGGAGGGCCCAGCCCCUCACUGAAGUCGUAUUUAUGAUGCGUCCCAAAGGAAGGGCAAACUUAACGCUUGUUUAGGGAAUUCGUUUUAAAAAUUAUGGUAAUAGGGCAAAACUACACAGCCAAUAAAAUCAUGUGGUAGGAGAAUAUUGAAUAAGGUGAGAGAAUCCUCAUGUUAAUUUUCAAGUAGCUCUUUUUAUAUUUGCUUAGAUUCUAAGAGGGAAAUACACAAAGAUGAUCAAAGAGAAGAUAUCCGUUUGGAUAAAAGAAUCACGAAUGAUGUUUAUUUCCUCCCCCUUUUUUUGGCCACACCCACAGCAUGCAGAAGUUCCCGGGCCAGGGAUCGAACCCAUGCCACUGCGGUAACCAGAGCCACAGCAGUGACAACACUGGAUCCUUAACCUUAGCCAGCAGGGAAAUCCCAUUU